rnacentral:rRNA from 1 species
AACGAACGCUGGCGGCAGGCUUAACACAUGCAAGUCGAGCGCCCCGCAAGGGGAGCGGCAGACGGGUGAGUAACGCGUGGGAACGUACCUUUUGGUUCGGAACAACUCCGGGAAACUGGAGCUAAUACCGGAUAAGCCCUAACGGGGAAAGAUUUAUCGCCGAAAGAUCGGCCCGCGUCUGAUUAGCUAGUUGGUGAGGUAACGGCUCACCAAGGCGACGAUCAGUAGCUGGUCUGAGAGGAUGAUCAGCCAAACUGGGACUGAGACACGGCCCAGACUCCUACGGGAGGCAGCAGUGGGGAAUAUUGGACAAUGGGCGCAAGCCUGAUCCAGCCAUGCCGCGUGAGUGAUGAAGGCCUUAGGGUUGUAAAGCUCUUUUGUCCGGGAAGAUAAUGACUGUACCGGAAGAAUAAGCCCCGGCUAACUUCGUG